GGUAUUUUGACUGUACAAAGGUAGCAUAAUCAAUAGUCUCUUAAUUGGUGACUUGUAUGAAAGAUUGGAUGAGAUAUAUACUGUCUCUAAUUAAUUUAUAGAAUUUAAUUUUUUAGUAAAAAAGCUAAAAUAAGUUUAAAAGACGAGAAGACCCUAUAGAGUUUAAUAAUUUAUUUAAUUAUUAUUAAUAUAUAAUUUUUAAAAUUAAAAUUAAAUAGAUUAUUUUGUUGGGGUGAUAGAAAAAUUAAAUUAACUUUUUUUUGUUAUUUACAUUAAUUUAUGAUUAAGUGAUCCAUUUAUAAUGAUUAAAAGAAAAAAUUACCUUAGGGAUAACAGCGUAAUUUUUUUUUUUAGUUCAAAUAGGAAAAAAAGUUUGCGACCUCGAUGUUG
rnacentral:rRNA from 1 species